rnacentral:rRNA from 1 species
UACGGAGGGUGCAAACGUUGCUCGGAAUCAUUGGGCGUAAAGCGCACGUAGGCGGUCCAGCAAGUCGGGUGUGAAAGCCCUCGGCUUAACCGAGGAAGUGCAUUCGAAACUACUGGGCUUGAGUACUGAAGAGGAUCGCGGAAUUCCCGGUGUAGAGGUGAAAUUCGUAGAUAUCGGGAGGAAUACCAGUGGCGAAGGCGGCGAUCUGGGCAGAUACUGACGCUGAGGUGCGAAAGCGUGGGGAGCAAACAGG